GGGUUGUGAGGUUAAGCGACUAAGCGUACACGGUGGAUGCCCUGGCAGUCAGAGGCGAUGAAGGACGUGCUAAUCUGCGAUAAGCGUCGGUAAGGUGAUAUGAACCGUUAUAACCGGCGAUUUCCGAAUGGGGAAACCCAGUGUGUUUCGACACACUAUCAUUAACUGAAUCCAUAGGUUAAUGAGGCGAACCGGGGGAACUGAAACAUCUAAGUACCCCGAGGAAAAGAAAUCAACCGAGAUUCCCCCAGUAGCGGCGAGCGAACGGGGAGCAGCCCAGAGCCUGAAUCAGUGUGUGUGUUAGUGGAAGCGUCUGGAAAGGCGCGCGAUACAGGGUGACAGCCCCGUACACAAAAAUGCACAUGCUGUGAGCUCGAUGAGUAGGGCGGGACACGUGGUAUCCUGUCUGAAUAUGGGGGGACCAUCCUCCAAGGCUAAAUACUCCUGACUGACCGAUAGUGAACCAGUACCGUGAGGGAAAGGCGAAAAGAACCCCGGCGAGGGGAGUGAAAAAGAACCUGAAACCGUGUACGUACAAGCAGUGGGAGCACGCUUCGGCGUGUGACUGCGUACCUUUUGUAUAAUGGGUCAGCGACUUAUAUUCUGUAGCAAGGUUAACCGAAUAGGGGAGCCGAAGGGAAACCGAGUCUUAACUGGGCGUUAAGUUGCAGGGUAUAGACCCGAAACCCGGUGAUCUAGCCAUGGGCAGGUUGAAGGUUGGGUAACACUAACUGGAGGACCGAACCGACUAAUGUUGAAAAAUUAGCGGAUGACUUGUGGCUGGGGGUGAAAGGCCAAUCAAACCGGGAGAUAGCUGGUUCUCCCCGAAAGCUAUUUAGGUAGCGCCUCGUGAAUUCAUCUCCGGGGGUAGAGCACUGUUUCGGCAAGGGGGUCAUCCCGACUUACCAACCCGAUGCAAACUGCGAAUACCGGAGAAUGUUAUCACGGGAGACACACGGCGGGUGCUAACGUCCGUCGUGAAGAGGGAAACAACCCAGACCGCCAGCUAAGGUCCCAAAGUCAUGGUUAAGUGGGAAACGAUGUGGGAAGGCCCAGACAGCCAGGAUGUUGGCUUAGAAGCAGCCAUCAUUUAAAGAAAGCGUAAUAGCUCACUGGUCGAGUCGGCCUGCGCGGAAGAUGUAACGGGGCUAAACCAUGCACCGAAGCUGCGGCAGCGACGCUGAUGCGUUGUUGGGUAGGGGAGCGUUCUGUAAGCCUGCGAAGGUGUACUGUGAGGUAUGCUGGAGGUAUCAGAAGUGCGAAUGCUGACAUAAGUAACGAUAAAGCGGGUGAAAAGCCCGCUCGCCGGAAGACCAAGGGUUCCUGUCCAACGUUAAUCGGGGCAGGGUGAGUCGACCCCUAAGGCGAGGCCGAAAGGCGUAGUCGAUGGGAAACAGGUUA
rnacentral:rRNA from 1 species